AGAAGGGUUCCUGGAAGAGGCAUAAUCAAAAUGGUGUGAGACUGGAGGGGUGGGCAGGCGUGGAGAGGAAGUGAAUGCAGAUGGAAAGGCCAACAAAACAGCAGGAACGUGGGUGCAGAGUUCCUAGGAGUCAGCUGUGGCAGCAAAGGAAGUCAUCCUACUUUCCUUGGGUCUACUUUUCACAGAGAUGACAAAGCUGCAUCCGGGCAGGACCACUUCAGAAUGCAGGCUAGAGAUACCCAGCUUCUUUAACAAUUGUUCCAAAGAAAGGAAGCAGAUCUUCUCAGAUUUGUGCAAUCCACUUGAUGAGCAUCCACUCCCUCUACUCUUCCAUCUAAGUCAUUUACAAAAAUGCUGAACAACUUUGGGCCGAAGACAGAACUUUGUAACACCUCACAGUUCAUCUUUCUCCAGAAUAACAAGAAACCAUUG